rnacentral:lncRNA from 1 species
AGUCGGGGAUGAAGUCUGGCUCCCAUAGGAGUCCGGACGAAGUCUUCCUUCGGUUGGAGUCGGAGACGAAGUCUGGCUCCCGUAGGAGUCCGGACGAAGUCUUCCUUCAAUUGAAGUCGGAGACGAAGUCCGGCUCCCGUAGGAGUUCAGACGAAGUCUUCCUGCAGUUAAAGUCGGGGACGAAGUCCGACUCCCGUUGGAGUCCGGAC